UACGUAGGGUGCAAGCGUUGUCCGGAAUUAUUGGGCGUAAAGAGCUCGUAGGCGGCUCGGCACGUCCGUUGUGAAAUCGCCCGGCUCAACUGGGCGGGGUCAGCGGAUACGGCCGAGCUUGAGCAAGCUAGGGGGCAAUGGAAUUCCCGGUGUAGUGGUGGAAUGCGUAGAUAUCUGGAGGAACACCGGUGGCGAAGGCGGCAUCCUGGACCGGCAUUGACGCUGAGGCGCGAAAGCCAGGGGAGCAAACGGG
rnacentral:rRNA from 1 species